rnacentral:misc_RNA from 1 species
AAGUCGUAACAAGGUUUCCGUAGGUGAACCUGCGGAAGGAUCAUUAUCACGUUUCCACGUUUAACAACCGAGAACCGUAUUUCCUGGUGGAAUGGGAUCCUGGGGACAGAGUCUUUGUUGUUGGUAACGAUGGCUUGGACUCAGCUUCAGACCCUUUCAUCGGGAGGUCCACGUUCACACGUGUGACCAACCACAACUUUAACCAAAACGCGUUAUUUUAUGAACUGAUUCUGUUCUUACUUUGCGUUCACACGCGAAGACGAACAAAGUUAUUUAAACUAAGUACAACUCUUAGCAACG